GACGAACGUUGGCGGCGUGCUUAACACAUGCAAGUCGAACGGAAAGGCCCUGCUUUUGUGGGGUGCUCGAGUGGCGAACGGGUGAGUAACACGUGAGUAACCUGCCCUUGACUUUGGGAUAACUUCAGGAAACUGGGGCUAAUACCGGAUAGGAGCUCCUGCUGCAUGGUGGGGGUUGGAAAGUUUCGGCGGUUGGGGAUGGACUCGCGGCUUAUCAGCUUGUUGGUGGGGUAGUGGCUUACCAAGGCUUUGACGGGUAGCCGGCCUGAGAGGGUGACCGGCCACAUUGGGACUGAGAUACGGCCCAGACUCCUACGGGAGGCAGCAGUGGGGAAUAUUGCACAAUGGGCGGAAGCCUGAUGCAGCAACGCCGCGUGCGGGAUGACGGCCUUCGGGUUGUAAACCGCUUACGCCUGUGACGAAGCGUGAGUGACGGUAAUGGGUAAAGAAGCACCGGCUAACUACGUG
rnacentral:rRNA from 1 species